rnacentral:tRNA from 1 species
ACCUGGCUGGCUCAGUUGGUAGAGCAUGCAACUCUUGAUCUCAGGGUCAUGAGUUCAAGCCCCAUGUUGGGUG